GAUGAACGCUGGCGGCGUGCUUAGCACAUGCAAGUCGAACGGAAAGGCCCAAGCUUGCUUGGGUGCUCGAGUGGCGAACGGGUGAGUAACACGUGGGUGAUCUGCCCUGCACUUUGGGAUAAGCCUGGGAAACUGGGUCUAAUACCGGAUAGGACCAUCGUUUAGUGUCGGUGGUGGAAAGUUUUUCGGUGUGGGAUGAGCUCGCGGCCUAUCAGCUUGUUGGUGGGGUAAUGGCCUACCAAGGCGUCGACGGGUAGCCGGCCUGAGAGGGUGUACGGCCACAUUGGGACUGAGAUACGGCCCAGACUCCUACGGGAGGCAGCAGUGGGGAAUAUUGCACAAUGGGCGCAAGCCUGAUGCAGCGACGCCGCGUGGGGGAUGACGGCCUUCGGGUUGUAAACUCCUUUCGCCAAGGACGAAGCGUUUUGUGACGGUACUUGGAGAAGAAGCACCGGCUAACUACGUG
rnacentral:rRNA from 1 species